GUUGAUUAAUGUGGGAUACCAAGGCUCUGAACUCAGGAUGCAUCCUUCCACCUUGGCUGCACUGGGAGUGGUGAACAGAGAAGACAUACGCCUGGCUCCAUCAGAUCGUGGAUUCUCCUUUAUUCCCAUCAAUGGACAUAUAGAAGCCCAGCAUAAACAGAUGUGAAGAGGAAGGUUUUAAUACCAUAAGUACAGCAAUAUGCAGAAAUGCACAGACUUCAGUGGAAGUACAGACGAGGGAAGCAGAUCUACUCUGAGAGGCACAGCCUGCUUCUACUGAAGGAGAGUUUUCCAGGAAUGUGCAAGACAACAUUUAAAUGUUAAAUUAAAUCUUAAAUGUUAAUUACUCAGCAGUCAAGAGGAGGGCUGUCUGUGAUGCAGAUUCCUUGUGUGCUUGAGAAAAGACUUUAAGCUUCCAGGUCCCAAGAGGAUUCAGUCUUUAGUCUUGAAGGAUGAGCUAUGCCUCUGCAGUUCUGCAGAGGACGCCGUGGAAGCUUGAGGUUGCACACCGGUACAACUGGAACUGUGGCCCAUCGCUCCUGGUCCUCCAGCUUCACUGCCAAGUGCUACUGAAUAAUGUCACGGCACUGGCAGAUAACCUCAACAGGGAAGAGUAAAUGAACAGCACAGUUUGCCUGACCUCACGGCUGAAUCUGGAGCUCACAGUGCAAGAACGAAAAUGCUGAGUUCAUAUAUAAAGAUGUUGGAAAUUUAUAA
rnacentral:sRNA from 1 species